GAUGAACGCUGGCGGCGUGCCUACAACAUGCAAGUCGAGCGAACAGACGAGGAGCUUGCUCCUCUGACGUUAGCGGCGGACGGGUGAGUAACACGUGGAUAACCUACCUAUAAGACUGGGAUAACUGCGGGAAACCGGAGCUAAUACCGGAUAAUAUAUUGAACCGCAUGGUUCAAUAGUGAAAGACGGUUUUGCUGUCACUUAUAGAUGGAUCCGCGCCGCAUUAGCUAGUUGGUAAGGUAACGGCUUACCAAGGCAACGAUGCGUAGCCGACCUGAGAGGGUGAUCGGCCACACGGGAACUGAGACACGGUCCAGACGCCUACGGGAGGCAGCAGUAGGGAAUCUUCCGCAAUGGGCGGAAGCCUGACGGAGCAGCGCCGCGUGAGUGAUGAAGGUCUUCGGAUCGUAAAACUCUGUUAUUAGGGAAGAACAAAUGUGUAAGUAACUAUGCACGUCUUGACGGUACCUAAUCAGAAAGCCACGGCUAAUUACGUG
rnacentral:rRNA from 1 species